rnacentral:lncRNA from 1 species
GCCCGCGGCUGUAAACGCGAGGCCGGGGCUGGAGAGAGGCCUGAGGGCCCGAGUGAGGCCUGCGGGCCCGAGUGAGGGGCUUCCCCGCGGCGCGCGCUUAGAGCCCCGCCCCCUUUGUAUUACAGAGGGGGAAACCGAGGCACGGGGAGGGGAAGAUCAUGGACUCAGCGCUUUGCCCCGUUAUAUUACAGAGGGGGAAACUGAGGCACAAAGCGGGGAAGAUCAUGGACUCGGAGCUUUGCCCCGUUAUAUUACAGAGGGGGAAACUGAGGCACAAAGCGGGGAAGAUCCUGGACUCGGAGCUUUGCCCCGUUAUAUUACAGAUGGGGAAACUGAGGCACAAAGCGGGGAAGAUCAUGGACUCAGCGCUUUGCCCCUUUAUAUUACAGAGGGGGAAACUGAGGCACGCGGAGGGGAAGAUCCUGGACUCGGAGCUUUGCCCCGUUAUAUUACAGAUGGGGAAACUGAGGCACAAAGCGGGGAAGAUCAUGGACUUGGAGCUUUGCCCCGUUAUAUUACAGAUGGGGAAACUGAGAAAUCAGGAAGUUGAAGGAGAUGGGCUUUUGAGAUCACUUCCAGCUGAAAAUCUACAAUUCUCUGAAGACAGGAUAGUUGUAUUCAAGUACUUGAAGAUCUGCCACAUUGGCGCUUUGUUUUUAUGCCCAGAGAACAGAAGGUGCAAGGGGUGAGAUUACAGAGAGACCAAUGUAGGCUUGAUGAAAGAAAAUC